rnacentral:rRNA from 1 species
UACGAAGGGGGCUAGCGUUGCUCGGAAUCACUGGGCGUAAAGGGUGCGUAGGCGGGUCUUUAAGUCAGGGGUGAAAUCCUGGAGCUCAACUCCAGAACUGCCUUUGAUACUGAAGAUCUUGAGUCCGGGAGAGGUGAGUGGAACUGCGAGUGUAGAGGUGAAAUGCGUAGACAUCGGGAGGAACACCAGUGGCGAAGGCGACUACCUGGCCUGUUCUUGACGCUGAGGCGCGAAAGCUAGGGGAGCAAACGGG